UAGGAUGCUGGAAUGCACUUAGUCUGAAAACUCCGGUGCCUAAGGAUGAAUCUGCGGACUAUCAGGUUGUAGUCAGGGUAAUGACCUGACUAGCCUAUGACGGAUAUGGGUUGUGGGAGCAAUAACCCAGAGAUGAUAUCUGAGAUACGAUAUCAGGCCCUACGGGGCGCAGCAGGCGCGAAAACUUCGCAAUGUGCGAAAGCACGACGAGGGAAUCCCAAGUGCUUGCACGUAAGUGUAAGCUGUUUCUCUGUUUAAAACGCAGAGAGAGUAAGGGCUGGGUAAGACGGGUGCCAGCCGCCGCGGUAAUACCUGCAGCUCAAGUGGUGGCCGUUAUUAUUGGGCCUAAAACGUCCGUAGCCGGUUUAUUAAAUGCCUGGGUAAAUCGGACCGCUUAACGGUUCGAAUUCCGGGUAGACUGAUAAACUUGAGACCGGGAGAAGUUAGAGGUACUCCUGGGGUAGAGGUGAAAUUCUGUAAUCCUAGGGGGACCACCAGUGGCGAAAGCGUCUAACUAGAACGGGUCUGACGGUGAGGGACGAAGCCCUGGGGCGCAAACGGGAUUAGAUACCCCGGUAGUCCAGGGUGUAAACGCUGCUUGCUUGAUGUUAGUCGGGCUCCGAGCCCGAUUAGUGUCGGAGAGAAGUUGUUAAGCAAGCUGCCUGGGAAGUACGGUCGCA
rnacentral:rRNA from 1 species